rnacentral:rRNA from 1 species
CAGCCGCCGCGGGAAAACGGAGGGUGCAAGCGUUAAUCGGAAUUACUGGGCGUAAAGCGCACGCAGGCGGUCUGACAAGUCAGAUGUGAAAUCCCCGGGCUUAACCUGGGAACUGCAUUUGAAACUGUCAGGCUGGAGUCUUGUAGAGGGGGGUGGAAUUCCAGGUGUAGCGGUGAAAUGCGUAGAGAUCUGGAGGAAUACCGGUGGCGAAGGCGGCCCCCUGGACAAAGACUGACGCUCAGGUGCGAAAGCGUGGGGAGCAAACAGGAUUAGAUACCCCUGUAGUCCCUGUCUCUUAUAA